AGGAUGAACGCUGGCGGUCUGCUUAACACAUGCAAGUCGAACGGGCGUAGCAAUACGUUAGUGGCGGACGGGUGAGUAACGCGUGAGAAUCUACCUUCAGGACGGAGACAACAGUUGGAAACGACUGCUAACCCCCGAUGUACUGAAAAGGCAAAUAUUUAUAGCCUGAAGAAGAGCUCGCGUCCGAUUAGCUAGUUGGAGAGGUAAAAGCUCACCAAGGCGACGAUCGGUAGCUGGUCUGAGAGGACGAUCAGCCACACUGGGACUGAGACACGGCCCAGACUCCUACGGGAGGCAGCAGUGGGGAAUUUUCCGCAAUGGGCGAAAGCCUGACGGAGCAAGACCGCGGUGGGGGAAGAAGGGCUCGUUGGGGUUGUAAACCCCGUUUUCUCUGGGAAGAAAGUUGUGAAAGCAGCCUGACGGUACCAGAGGAAUCAGCAUCGGCUAACUCCGUGCCAGCAGCCGC
rnacentral:rRNA from 1 species